GUCGGCUUCAUAUGUCACAUUCCGGAAUGCAGACAAAAAUGCAUAAAUACUGCAGAUGGCAACAGGUGCUGCUUUGCUUGAGCAUAACAUAUGGAGUGACUCUACUGGAUAGCAUUCUUCCUCUCUCCCUCCCCACCUUGUUGCCUCAGCAGUUUCCUGAUACUGUACUACUUUGCCUACUGCUUGUUACACUGAGGUCAAGGUGAGGCUCUUCCCUGCCUCACGCUGAAGCAUCCAGCGAUAUGCUCCUUCCUGGUCCCUCCAUGCUUGAAGAGCAGAUCACAGUUGAUUUCAUUUACAAGGUGGAACAUCAGAGGAAACAUAAUUUAUGGUGAGUGCUUGUUGGUAGAUAAAGAAACUUACCCCAAACAAGUGUCCCCAAAGUGCAAUGAAUUAUAUAACGCUUCUAAUGAAGAUGUACCCCCUGGGCCAAAUUUCCAAAAUUUGAUAUAUGUGGUAUUAGAAGCUGCAAUUCUAGACAAUCUUACUUGGAAGUCACUCCCACUGUACUCCAAAGAACUGAUUUCACGUAGGGGUGUGUGUGUGUGUGUGUGUGUGUGUGUGUGUGUGUGUGGGAUUGCAUUGCAUAAUGACAAGCACCUUAAGUGUGGACCGGAUUUCAGCUUACCUAUUUCAUGAUCCUAUAAACUGCUUAUUGAAUUCAAAGGAUUUGAUAAUUCACUACUAAUUGAGAACACCUUAAAUAAACCCAAGCUGUUGUUUUGAAUUGGCAGAGCACCUUUAAUAAAUAAAGAAAUAACACAGUAAGAAUUGCAAUACUAAAUUAGUUAAAAGUUAACUCUGUGCAUGUGUUUUAAAGGUUGGCUAAUUCCCAUAUUUCUCGAUGGCCAACAUUUUUAUUUUAAAUACAAGCACAUUAAAUAUUGAAUUGGAGAGGGGGGAAAAAUGAAAAUGAGGUGGUGGGAAAGGAGAGUUUCAAUGCUACGCAGCAUUCUUUCUACUCUGGCAUUGUCAAAUAUUUCUCAUUUUAUUAAUUGGAAUGACCCCAAGAAAUAGAACUAGUGACUCUUGAAUUUCCCAAAGAAUGGAUCUUUUCACUUGAACUGAUGGUUAAGUUACCCCCGGAAAAAAUUGAGUUUGUGUUCAUUAUGAAGUUAUGAAAUUUGCUGCUGAAUUCAUUAAACCGAAACAACUUUUAUUUCAUUAUGGUUAACAAACACUGCAAAUUAAUUUUCUCGGCUGGGCUUCAGUGUGUGAGUGUAUUUUUUUAAUAGAGGGCUCCAUUGUGUGCGAACAAUUAAAAUCAUUUACAUUUUGGAGAACACUGAUUAUGAAUGAUGUUAUUAUCCUAUUAGGGUGGCAAAACCAAUCCAAACUGCAUGUUAAAGAGCUGGAAGUGCAUUCAUCGUAACAAGGGGAUGAUGAGCAGCUGCUAGACAAGGACCUUGGUAGCUUCUCUUACGAAAUGUUGGCUGCAUGUGACUGGCACAUACGAUUAGGCGAGCAAGAUGCACUGUCCCUCAAGGUCUAAUUAGGCUCUGUACAGUGUGAGGAGGGGAAAAAGUAGAGCUCCCUACACAUAAUUACCCAUCGUGUACUCAGCUUAUCUGCCUUAAAUAUUGCUUUUGUUGGAUUUAAUUAUGUGUGAGAGAGAUGAUGAAUGUCACUUUAUCUGUGUGAUCUUAUCAAGCAAUCGUUCUGCCUCCAAAGAAGCACUGAGAUUUUAACAGUACAUGGAAGAAGUGAAACUUGGGGGUGUUGAAUUAUAUUUGGUAUGAAAGGUCAACCUUUUCCUUGGUUUGUAAGGGUUUAUUUUUUUUGUUUCGUGUAUGUCUCCAUCACACCAAGGACACUCUUUCUAAAUGAUGGGAAGGCAAGUUUGGCAAGUGGAGGCUAUUACUGUUGUUUUGCAGAUAGAUACGAUGCAAGUUUAUUUGUUCAGGGCCC